AUGUCUCUUGCCCCUCUCAAUGUUUAUGACUCAGUGCUGCUAAGACCCCAUCAGUGAUAUAGGCCUGUCCUGCAGUGCUGCUGUUCCUCCACUUUGCUCUGUCUUUCUCUGCUCUUACACUGCACAUAAUAGGAGGAGCAGUGGUGCAAGGCUGUUCAGCAAGUGCUUAUGAAGGACAGCCACCAGCAGCACACUCAAAAUACUCUAAGGAGAGGGGGCAGCACUCCAUGAAGAGGGGGAGAAGCACAUUACAAGGAGGAACUGGUUCAGACCUGUUUUCUGACUACUCCACCUGCUAAGCUUUCUACCGAGACUAUUAAGGCCCUGAUCCUGAUGGAAUUUAUGCACGUGCUUAAUUUCAGGAAUGUGAGCCAUCCCACUGAAGUCAAUGGGAUUAGUCACAUGUAUAAAUUUAAGGUGCCUUUGAAAGAUCAGGACUGACAUCAACAGAAGAGAGACAAGGUAUUUGAAAAGAAUGGAAAUGUUUGGAAUUUUUCUGCUCCAGACAUUGCAGCUCAGAAAGAGCCAUCUUCAUGCCCUGAUUGAUCCUGCAUCCACAGCUGCCGGAUUGCACCCGUGCCAACCCCGCCCAGCCCACCAGUGAUGUCUCUAGGUCAAAAUGUCAAGCACUGUGGUAUGUUCCGUCUAUGAAUCGAGGACAGGAAAUGAGGAUUGUUCCCACCAUCGUCAUGGAGCGUUAUAUAGUUUGUAACCCUAUAUGGUUUGAGUCCUGGCUGUCUGAGAGAUGUACCAAUGAAAUCACCUGAGAUAACUAUGCUAGCAGGCUAUAGAUUUGAAGGCUGAGACUUGAUUUCAACGGAGCUAUAAUAAUUUACACUGCUCAAGUUCUGCCCUGGAAACUAUAAACUCUCUGUAUUUCCCUAUCUCCAUCUAUGUCUCCUCAGUUCCCAUACACAAACACCUAUAUGCCUCCCCUGGUUCUUUGUACCCCCUUCCAGGUCCAUCUCCCUUGCCCACAUUCCUUGCCCUUCUUUCCUAUGCUCCUGGGGUCCCCUGCCCACAUUGUAACCCUCUUUUCAUUCCACAUCAACACCCUGCCCUCCUCCAAUGCAUCGCCUCCUUCAGCUUCCUUCAGAGUCCACCCAUACCAAGGCUGGGAGCAUGGCUCCAUGCCACCCUUCUAUGUGUCUCCGAUUCUCUAUUCUCAGUCCAGGUCCCCCAACUUCCCUCCCCUUUAUUCCCCUUCCCAAAUUCUUGAACCAAUACAUUUCCUCUGGUUCCUUGCCCCACAAUCCGUUCCCCACUUCUGCCCCAGCUGAGUCAAGCAGCUAGAGUUAAACUGACCUUCUAUAUUAUAAACCGUUCUAUUACUGGCCUUGAACUUUAGACACAUUACAAUCCCCUUUUUAUUAAAGGCUCAUCUCUUCAGCAAAGCCAACAAAUAAAUGUGGAGCUUCUAGAUCAGUGGUUCUCAACCAGGGGUACAUGUAUCCCCUGGGAGUAUGCAGAGGUCUUACGAGUGGGCGGGGGUACAUCAACUCAUCUAGAUAUUUGCCUAGUUUUACAACAGGCUAUAUAAAAAAACACUAGCGAAGUCAGUACAAACUAACAUUUCAUACCGACAAUGACUUGUUUAUACUGCUCUAUAUACUAUAGACUGAAAUGUAAGUACAAUAUUUAUAUUCCAAUUUAUGUAUUUUAUAAUGAUAUGGUAAAAAUGAGAAAGUAAGCAAUUUUUCGGUAAUAGUGGCUAUGACACAUUUGUAUUUUUAUGUCUGAUAUUUUAAGCAAGUAGUUUUUAAGUGAGGUAAAACUUUGGGGUAUGCAAGACAAAUCAGACUCCUGAAAGGGGUAUAGUAGUCUGGAAAGGUUCAGAGCUACUGGACUAGAUCACACCAGUCAGGAAAUAUAAUAACCCUAAAAAAAGCAUCAUAAAAAAGUAAAUUCCAGCUAAAUCUUCAGACUACCAUGGUUAGGCCCAAGACUCUGUCCUUUUGUGCCAGGCACAGCUCAGGUGGCAGGGAGGGGGAAGGGGCACAAGUGGCUAUAAGAUACCUUUGUUC